GUGACCUCAAAUCAGUCUCACUCCAAAUAAAUCUGAGUCUGAAGCUGCCGUUAACAAAGUCAGAAUUCUACAUGCCGUGAGCAGCACCGGCACUCGCCCGUUCCCCUCUCUACUCCAACGGGAAGAAGCCAUGGGAAAACCCCUUUGCCUUGUUGAUGACUGAGAACAGGCCACAGACAGGAGCGCUGACAACAUAGUCUCAGAUGAAAUGGCUAGAACGCAGCGUGACAGACCAGAAGCCGUUGAUUCGCUUUAACAGUCAUUUUCUCUUUCAAGUCACCUUGAUGAGCAUGUCAUGGGCCAGGUGAACGUGGAGAAAAAAACUUGAAUCGAGAAUUUCCCAAGAUGCAUCGAAGGUGCCUGGAGACCGGGCAUCCUCCUCAUGCCUGGCUUCUGAAUCCCUGUGGGCUGAGUAGCCCAACAAUCAGUCAAAGAGAAACAGGGUCAGGCCUGUAACGAAGAGGCCUUUAAAAAAAGACUUACAAAGAGAAAGACACCGUUUAAAUACGUGCAUACUCCAGAGGCCUUGCGAUAGGCACAUGAUCAUGUCAGAGCCAGCUGUGUCGGCGCCUGCUACAAGGACAGAAAUAACCUGGAUGAAGGAAAGCCACAGAGAAUCAAAAAGUAAGCUGGUUCGAAGCAAUAGAUUCUACUUUUCACCCACCAGGUUUUAAAUUGAAGCUCCCGUCCUUGAUUGAUUUUUUUUUUCCUCCUCUUCUGGACCGCUUAAUAGAAAUGCUAAUGAAGAGAAUAAUAAGCAAACGGAAGGUGGAAAGGAAGAAGGCCAGAGAAUCGCAGAAAGAGGCGCAGGCGUGAGCUGCUGGGGUUGCUGGGAGAAAUCAUCUCUUUCGAAAGUAGCCGAGUCUUUUGUUUUCUGUAUUUCAUUUCUUUUUCUCCCACCUUCCUCUCCGGGACACGUUUCUGUACCAGUAAGGGUGGGUGAGAGGUGAGUGAGAUAGAGGGGCAUAAACAGGUUUGGAUGCUUUGCA